UCUCCCACAUGCUUGCAGUAGUGUCUUAUAACUUCUGAGCUAUUAGAUGUUUCCACCUCUUGGGCACUUCUAGCAUUCCUUUUUCCUCUACCUACUGCAAUUGCCUGCCUCAAGAAACUUGUGGUGUCAAACAGAUGAAGAGUUGUGUACACGUACACAAACAUUAUGACCAUUAGCCUCUUUAGAAAAAUAGGCUCAGAACAGUCCUGAGGGCUUCAAAUUUCCUUACCUUUCCUUCCCUGAACCUAUCUCCCAGACUAGUGGCCAUUCUUAGAGUUAAUUCUGUUUCCUGUAACGUGUUCCUUCUUGAAAGAGAGAACAAUGUGCCUUUAACUAGGAAGGUGCUGUCUGACAAGAUAUGAUUUUAGGUUAAUGUGAAAGGGUUUUUGUUUCCUUUCUGUCUCAAGAGUUUUUGAACCAUGCCAUGAUGUGAUACCACCAGAACCAUUUUUCAAAGGCUGUGUUUUUGAUGGAUGUCGCGUACCCAAUGCCUCCAUACAGUGUUCCAGUUUGGAGAUGUAUGCUACAGAGUGUGCUGCUAGAGGUAUCUGCAUUGACUGGAGAGGAAAGACCAACUCUACAUGCCGUAAGUACUGCAGAACUCAAAAAUGUAUGUGUAAAGCAGUAUUAACUAAGGUUUUAUUCAGUAAACACACCUGGCAUCUAAUGCUUGACUAUGGUAUUUUACCUACAAAAAUAUACACAGGCGUCUUUACCAACAGAAGCCCCAGAUGACAAAGGAAAAGCCAGAAACACCUAGGAACAUUUGCUACAAAAAAGUAUCUGAUACCAAUUUUUCAUCUAUUUCCUUCUUUUCUCUUAUAGCAUACAACUGUCCAGCAAACACAGUAUACAAGGCAUGUGGGCCCAUUAAUCCUGCUACCUGUGAGCCAAGCUCUGUUGAGCACAGCGGCUAUGGUGUAACCGAAGGAUGUUUCUGUCCUGAAGGACAGACUUUAAUCAGUGAAGACAGCAACAUCUGUGUCUCUGACUGUUGUAAGUACUCUGUAUUUAGUUUGGGGAAUAAAUAGAAAUCUGGACUGGGAGUCAAUGGAGUUCCACUGCCAUUUUCACAUGGUCAG
rnacentral:lncRNA from 1 species